GAUUUCUGGUACAAUGCACCUGGCCCGCGGCCUAUUAGGCUUGUGAGUGCCGGCGCGCGUUUACCAUCCUUCUAGAAAACAGGCCUGCCCUUUACUGGGUUGGGUUUGCGAUCUAGAUCUUUUACUUUGAAAAAAUUAGAGUGUUUAAAGCAGGCUUUUGCUAUGAAUACAUUAGCAUGGAAUAAUAAUUUAGGACUUUGCUCCUAUUUUAUUGGUUUCUAGGGGUAAAGUAAUGAUUGAUAGGGAUAGUUGGGGGUGCUAGUAUUCAUCGGCCAGAGGUGAAAUUCUUGGAUUCGAUGAAGACUAACUUAUGCGAAAGCAUU
rnacentral:rRNA from 1 species